rnacentral:rRNA from 1 species
GACGAACGCUGGCGGCGUGCUUAAUACAUGCAAGUAGAACGCACAGUUUAUACUUUAGCUUGCUACACCAUAGACUGUGAGUUGCGAACGGGUGAGUAACUCGUAGGUAACCUGCCUGGUAGCGGGGGAUAACUAUUGGAAACGAUAGCUAAUACCGCAUAAUAUUAAUUAUUGCAUGAUAAUUAAUGGAAAGGUGCAAUUGCACCACUACCAGAUGGACCUGCGUUGUAUUAGCUAGUAGGUGAGGUAACGGCUCACCUAGGCGACGAUACAUAGCCGACCAGAGAGGGUGAUCGGCCACACUGGGACUGAGACACGGCCCAGAAUCCUACGGGAGGCAGCAGUAGGGAAUCUUCGGCAAUGGACGAAAGUCUGACCGAGCAACGCCGCGUGAGUGAAGAAGGUUUUCGGAUCGUAAAGCUCUGUUGUAAGAGAAGAACGGGUGUGAGAGUGGAAAGUUCACACUGUGACGGUAUCUUACCAGAAAGGGACGGCUAACUACGUG